CCUACGGGAGACAGCAGUGGGGAAUAUUGCACAAUGGGGGAAACCCUGAUGCAGCGACGCCGCGUGAGCGAUGAAGUAUUUCGGUAUGUAAAGCUCUAUCAGCAGGGAAGAAAAUGACGGUACCUGACUAAGAAGCCACGGCUAACUACGUGACAGCAGCCGCGGGAAUACGUAGGGGGCAAGCGUUAUCCGGAUUGACUGGGGGGACAGGGAGCGUAGACGGCGCUGCAAGCCAGAUGGGAAAGCCCGGGGCUCAACCCCGGGACUGCCUUUGGAACUUUAUAGCUGGAUUGUCGGAGAGGCAGGCGGAAUUCCUUGUGUAGCGGUGAAAUGCGUAGAUAUUCG
rnacentral:rRNA from 1 species